rnacentral:lncRNA from 1 species
UGGUGAUGGUGGUACUGAUUGAUGUUAAGUGGAUAGUAAUGAUGGUGUUGAUAGUUGUGAUGGUGGAGGUGGUUGGUGUUGUAAUGGUUGUCAAUUACCAAGUCAUGAGCCUCUAAAGAAAGAUAAAAUCGCUAAGUACAUAGAGCCUUCGGGGCAUAUAUUGGAAUACUGAAACAAUUGAAUAUGACUAAUAAGGAUAAAAUCCCCCACCGAACGAAUAGCAGAAGAAUGUUGAAUAUGGAUGCUGAGUCCAGCUGGUGGUACCAACCUCAAUCUUCAUCCAGAAAGGAAGAGUAGGCUCUCAUUAACUAUCCUAAAUGGUGCUGCAGGACAUAGUGAGGUAAAUAUGAAAUGCAGUAAAACAUAUAUGUAACAUUGGUUAUCAAAAAAAAAAAACAUAUAUGUAACAUUUCACAGUCUGAAACUAUAACUGGUACUUCUAUUGAAAUUUGUAACUGAAACUAAUAACUGGACUGAAACCGAACUGACAGUUAUUCUUGAAACCUUAUUUUAUCAGGAAAUAUUCUAUUAUGAUAAGUUACGAAUAAUGAACUUGCAUGUGUGUGACUGGUGCUACGUAUGGGGAGGGCCAACUUAGCUUACGAGCAAGAAUGGGGUAGCUAACAACUCGCCGCUUUGGCACUCAUGCUCGGGGAAGUGGUAACUUCGCCCAGCUGAAUGUGAUCAGAUUAAUGUACUGAAACUGGAUGCAGGAAUUACACAAAAUGCACAAAUUAAGACAAUCAAGUAAUUUUAUUCACACAGAAGUACUUCAACAUAAUGCAAUUAUUUAUCUGAAAACUGUGCUAGGAUAGAAUACGGAGAGUUAAGCACUCUGCUUGUCCCCUAAGAACUUAACCUCAAAACUUCUUUCAAACACUUGGUAGACAUGCUUUUGUCAAUAAUCCAUUUAGGAAGGUAGCCUUAACGUACCUCAACUUUCGACUGAAACUUGCGUUUUUAACUUCCCAGAUAUCCGUCAAAUGCCGAAAUCUACAACCAUCAGGCCUGAACACAUCAACACAAGAUAGUUCAAUAUUUCUUGAAAAUCUCAAAUUUUCAUGCUAGGGUUGCGUUUUAAUCAAUUUAAGUCUGAAGUUAUCCACUAGAAUUAUUCCAUCAAAUUUUGACUAAUUCCUAAUUUCCUAUUUCCAUUCAUGGCUUCUUUCAGUUCCACAAGUAAACUACUACAAAAAAUAUUGAGCUUUAUGAUUUCAUACUAUCCCAAUAAUACCAAUUUGUCAGUUCAAGAUAGUGGGUUUACUUUUGGAAGCAAUUCCUCAAACCCUACCCUUUAACUUAAAGGGUUCUUGUUGACAUUUCCGGUAAUGUAACUAUUCAUAAGUUAAACUAGUGUUAAUUGACCCAAAUUAACUCAAACUCUGCUGGAAUUAUUACCUUGGAUAAUGUAAGUAAGCAGUUUGUUUUUGCCUUCAAAAGCUCUUUAAAUGCUGAAGAAGUGGGUUUUUUCUCCCUCUAACUGACCGUAUUUAUACUUUCUGAUUGACGGACACGCUGAAAACAAGUCUGAGUUUUCGCCCCCAUGGAGCGCCGGUUCCUGCCGCCUUGGCCAAUCAAACACACUCUCCUAUCCUCUCUCAUUCCCUUGGCUCACCCUUCUCUCUGUGUAUAUGUAUUUUAGA